UGGACCAGUGCAGUGAUCACGACUGGUGGCGUCUGAGUCACAGAUGAGGAAUGCACGUGUCUGGAACUCUGAGGUCCAA
rnacentral:snoRNA from 1 species